GGCCUCAGCACUCUUGAAGCAACAGAAGCAGCGUAUGUUGGAGAUGAGGAGAAGGAAAUCAGAAGAAAUACAGAAGCGAUUUCUGCAGAGCUCAAGUGAAGUUGAGAGCCCAGCUGUGCCAUCCUCAUCAAGACAGCCCCCUGCUCAGCCUCCACGGACAGGAUCCGAGUUCCCCAGGCUGGAGGGAGCCCCGGCCACAAUGACGCCCAAGCUGGGGCGAGGUGUCUUGGAAGGAGAUGAUGUUCUCUUUUAUGAUGAGUCACCACCACCAAGACCAAAACUGAGUGCUUUAGCGGAAGCCAAAAAGGUAACUGGCAUCUAUUCUCUUUAACACUUGAGUUUGCAUUCUGUAGGGCAGAGCUGGAGGAAAGACACACCUAAUAGCUCUUUAUUGAUCGUGAUCAUUAGAGUCAGUGUAAUUUGAAAACAUGGUAGUGUCAACAUAAUACUAAAAGAAAGUUAGAUCUGUUACCUCAACACUUUCUUGUCAGGCUACAAGUGGUAGCCUAGAGGAAGAUAGUGUUUUAUAACCAGAGGCAUUGACAGUAGGAAAACAAUUCUUGGAAUUGUUGAGGUGAGACUAUAAAAUGGUGGUUUAAGGAAUCCUUCUUUUUUUA
rnacentral:sRNA from 1 species